GACGAACGCUGGCGGCGUGCCUAAUACAUGCCAGUAGAACGCUGAAGGAGGAGCUUGCUCUUCUGGAUGAGUUGCGAACGGGUGAGUAACGCGUAGGUAACCUGCCUGGUAGCGGGGGAUAACUAUUGGAAACGAUAGCUAAUACCGCAUAACAGUAGAUGUUGCAUGACAUUUACUUAAAAGGUGCAAUUGCAUCACUACCAGAUGGACCUGCGUUGUAUUAGCUAGUUGGUGGGGUAACGGCUCACCAAGGCGACGAUACAUAGCCGACCUGAGAGGGUGAGCGGCCACACUGGGACUGAGACACGGCCCAGACUCCUACGGGAGGCAGCAGUAGGGAAUCUUCGGCAAUGGACGGAAGUCUGACCGAGCAACGCCGCGUGAGUGAAGAAGGGUUUCGGAUCGUAAAGCUCUGUUGUAAGAGAAGAACGAGUGUGAGAGUGGAAAGUUCACACUGUGACGGUAUCUUACCAGAAAGGGACGGCUAACUACGUG
rnacentral:rRNA from 1 species